AUGUUCAUGCCAAAAUCUCCAAUGGACACACUUCACUUCUCCUGCAUCCAAAUAGCCAUAGCCUUGCUCUUGUUCACUCAUGCCAAUAGCACCACAGAGGGCAGCACAUCUGCCCUGCAUCCAAACGAUGCGAUUCCCAGCUGUGUUGCCGGUGAGAAGUCUGCCCUUCUUGCCUUCAGGGCAGGCCUAUCAGACCCUGCCAACCUCCUUUCAUCAUGGAAGGGCGAUGACUGCUGCCGAUGGAAGGGCGUCUACUGCAGCAACAGAACCGGCCAUGUUGUCAAGCUCGAUCUCCGAGGCGAUGAGAGUAGGCAGAUGCUAGCAGGCAACAUAAGUUCCUCGUUGCUUGGUUUAGAUCAUCUUCGAUAUCUCGACCUUAGCUGCAAUAGCUUCGACAAGAUACAGAUGCCGGAGUUCAUGGGUUCUCUCCAUCAGCUGAGAUAUCUCGACCUAUCAGCCUCACUGUUCAUUGGAAGGAUACCGCCGCAGCUGGGUAAUCUCUCCAACUUAUGGUACUUAAAUCUUGGGAGUGACGAGUGA
rnacentral:rRNA from 1 species